rnacentral:rRNA from 1 species
UACGUAGGGGGCCAGCGUUGCUCGGAAUUACUGGGCGUAAAGGGUUCGUAGGCGGUGUGGCAAGUCGGAAGUGAAAUCUCCAGGCUUAACUUGGAGGCUGCUCCCGAAACUGCCAUGCUAGAGUGCGGGAGAGGCGAGUGGAAUUGCAGGUGUAGCGGUGAAAUGCGUAGAUAUCUGCAGGAACACCCGUGGCGAAGGCGGCUCACUGGCCCGGUACUGACGCUGAGGUGCGAAAGCGUGGGGAGCAAACAGG